GCUAUUGAUUUAUCGGGUCGAGGGAGCGGACAGGAACCGACCCUAUGGCAAGAUUAGAAACGACAGCCAGAUGCAGACCCAGCCUCGGAAGCGGCCUGACCCUCUGCCCACUGGCACCCAGGCAUCUGUCCUUGUCCUCAUGGCUAAAUAAACCCGUUCAGACCCCGGAGGAUGAACAACAGGACAAGUUAACGGCAACUGACGGUCUCUCAGGCAUGUUCGACUCUUUGCGACCCCAUGGACUGCAGCGUGCCAGGCUUCUCUGUUCUUCAUCUCCGGGAGCUUGCUCAAGCUCAUGGAAGGAAUCUACUGUCAGCCAAACCACAUAUUGAUGUCACUCAAGUUGGGCAUGGUUUAAACGUUGAUAAAACCCGGUUUUCUAGUUUUCCCAGGUGAAUCCCAAUGGCAUGCUCUUUCUAGGAGCAGUUUCUGGUGUCUGUAUUACAGUCACAAGUCCACCGUUUUCCUGCAUCUGGGCACCCACAUAGGUUGGAUUAUUGGGAACUGGUGAAAUUGGUAGUGCAUUCAAGCUGCCUUGGAGAAGUGGAUAAGAGAGUGGCCUAAAGCUGCCCCUCCCAAGACUGCUGCUGCUAAGUCGAGUCAGCCAUGUCUGACUCUUAGCAACCCCACGGACUGUAG
rnacentral:lncRNA from 1 species